AUUGAACGCUGGCGGCAGGCUUAACACAUGCAAGUCGAGCGGGAGGCGGAAGGGUGAGUAAUGUAUGGGAAACUGCCUGAGGGAGGGGGUCAAGUACCGGAAACGGAAGCUAAAACCGCAUAGAAUCAGAUGUGCCGAGGUGGGAUUAGCUAGGAGGUGGGGUAAUGGCUCACCUAGGCGACGAUCCCGAUCUGGUCUGAGAGGAUGACCAGCCACACUGGAACUGAGACACGGUCCAGACUCCUACGGGAGGCAGCAGUGGGGAAUAUUGCACAAUGGGAGCAAGCCUGAUGCAGCCAUGCCGCGUGUGUGAAGAAGGCCGUCGGGUUGUAAAGCACUUUCAGCGAGGAGGCGUUACCCGCAGAAGAAGCACCGGCUAACUCCGUGCCAGCAGCCGCGGUAAUUC
rnacentral:rRNA from 1 species